AAUGAUAAAAGGCAAACCCGUGCGAAAGCCGGGGACGCAAAGCCACGGUUCUAACCCAUCGAGAUGCGAUGGCAUGAAAGCCGGGCCGCUCUA
rnacentral:ncRNA from 1 species